AACGAACGCUGGCGGCAGGCUCAACACAUGCAAGUCGAACGCAUCGCAAGAUGAGUGGCAGACGGGUGAGUAACGCGUGGGAACAUACCCUUUUCUACGGAAUAGCUCUGGGAAACUGGAAUUAAUACCGUAUACGCCCUACGGGGGAAAGAUUUAUCGGGGAAGGAUUGGCCCGCGUUGGAUUAGCUAGUUGGUGGGGUAAAGGCCUACCAAGGCGACGAUCCAUAGCUGGUCUGAGAGGAUGAUCAGCCACAUUGGGACUGAGACACGGCCCAAACUCCUACGGGAGGCAGCAGUGGGGAAUAUUGGACAAUGGGCGCAAGCCUGAUCCAGCCAUGCCGCGUGAGUGAUGAAGGCCUUAGGGUUGUAAAGCUCUUUCACCGGUGAAGAUAAUGACGGUAGUCGGAGAAGAAGCCCCGGCUAACUUCGUGCCAGCCGCCGCCGUAAAAC
rnacentral:rRNA from 1 species